rnacentral:rRNA from 1 species
UCAGGACGAACGCUGGCGGCGUGCCUAAUACAUGCAAGUCGAACGGUCUUUCUAUGGAAGCUUGCUUCCACUGAGAAGAUAGUGGCGAACGGGUGAGUAACACGUGGGUAACCUGCCCAUAAGAGGGGGGAUAACAUCCGGAAACGGGUGCUAAUACCGCAUAGUUUUCUUGAUCGCAUGAUCGGGAAAGGAAAGACGGCCUUUGUGCUGUCGCUUAUGGAUGGACCCGCGGCGUAUUAGUUAGUUGGUGAGGUAACGGCUCACCAAGACGAUGAUACGUAGCCGACCUGAGAGGGUGAUCGGCCACAUUGGGACUGAGACACGGCCCAAACCCCUACGGGAGGCAGCAGUAGGGAAUCUUCCGCAAUGGACGAAAGUCUGACGGAGCAACGCCGCGUGAGUGAAAGAAGGUUUUCGGAUCGUAAAACUCUGUUGUCAGAGAAGAACAAGUUGGAGAGUAACUGCUCCAGCCUUGACGGUAUCUGACCAGAAAGCCACGGCUAACUACGUGCCAGCCGCCGC